rnacentral:lncRNA from 1 species
GUUCGUCCGCUGGAGGAGUCUUGAGGACACUGUGGAAGGUCGAACGUUGGAGGAGUUUGGGAUUCAAUUCCGUUGUAGGAGUUCGGACAGAGUCCGGCUCUUGUAGGAGUCUGAAAGGAGGCCGCUUAUUGUAGAAACUUGGACAAAGAUCGGUUGCCGUGGAAGCUUAGAUGGAGACUUCUUAUUGUAGAAGUCUAGCUACUGGAG